rnacentral:rRNA from 1 species
GACGAACGCUGGCGGCGUGCUUAACACAUGCAAGUCGAACGGAAAGGCCCUGCUUUUGUGGGGUGCUCGAGUGGCGAACGGGUGGGUAACCCGUGAGUAACCUUCCCUUGACUUUGGGAUAAAUUCAGGAAACUGGGGCUAAUACCGGAUAGGAACUCUUGCCGCCAGGUGGGGGUUGGAAAGUUUCGGCGUUUGGGGAUGGACGCGCGGGUUAUCAGCUUGUUGGUGGGGUGGUGGCUUACCAAGGGUUCGACGGGUAGCCGGCUUGCGAGCGGGAACGGCGACAAGAGGACUAAGGGACGGACCAGUAGCGAACGGGAGGCAGCAGGGGGGAGUAUGACGCAAUGGGCCGAAGUCUGAUGCAGCAACGUCGCGUGCGUAAUGACGGCUUUCGAGUGAUGAACCGCUUUGGCAUGAAACGAAGAGUGAGUGACGGUAAUGGGUAAAAAAGCACCGGCUAACUACGUG